UACGGAGGGUGCGAGCGUUGUCCGGAAUCAUUGGGCGUAAAGGGCGCGUAGGUGGUGGCUUAAGCGUGCGGUGAAAGCUCGGAGCUCAACUCCGAGUCGGCCGUGCGAACUGGGCUCACUGGAGCAUAGUAGAGGCAGGUGGAAUUCCUGGUGUAGCGGUGGAAUGCGCAGAUAUCAGGAGGAACACCAAUAGCGAAGGCAGCUCGCUGGGACGUUACUGACACUGAGGCGCGAAAGCGUGGGGAGCGAACAGG
rnacentral:rRNA from 1 species